rnacentral:rRNA from 1 species
GAUGAACUCUGGCGGCGUGCCGAAUGCAUUCAAGGCGAGCGAACGGACUAGAAGCUUGCUUCUCUUAUGUUAGCGGCGGACGGGUGAGUAACACGUGGAGAACCUACCUAUAAGACUGGGAUAACUUCGGGAAACCUGAUCUAAUACCGGAUAAUAUUAUGAACCGCAUGGUUCAAAAGUGAACGACGGUCUUGCUGUCACUUAUAGAUGGAUCCGCGCUGCAUUAGCUAGUUGGUAAGGUAACGGCUUACCAAGGCAACGAUGCAUAGCCGCCCUGAGAGGGUGAUCGGCCACACUGGAACUGAGACACGGUCCAGACUCCUACGGGAGGCAGCAGUAGGGCAUCCUACGCAAUGGGCGAACGCAUGACGGAGCACCGCCGCGUGAGUGAUGCAGGUCUUCGGAUCGUAAAACUCUGUUAUUAGGGAAGAACAUAUGUGUAAGUACCUGUGCACAUCUUGACGGUACCUAAUCAGAAAGCUACGGCUAACUACGUG